UAUUAGGUAUGUAAUUAUUCCGUGACUACCACCAAAUUCUGUGAUGGCUGCUGAUAGAAUCCCGAUAAAAGCUCCAGUAAGUCAUCAUUUUCAUCUAGCAAUACCAUGGAUUCCCCAUUAUUUGGAAGGACUAUCCACGUAACAAUAAAAACUACAACUGCUGCGCUUACCUGUGCCGAAUACCUGUAAUGGAAACAAUGUAUAAAAGAAUACAGAGAAGUAAUUGUACAGAUGAUGAUGGGAUGGGAAGGAAAAGAAUAUCAGUGGAUCAAAAGAAUAGGUGUACAAGAGAGAAAGAGAGAAUAUGUAGAUAAGUAUUCUAUAUAAACGUAGUAAAGUAACCCCUAACUACUACUACUACUACUACAAUGUAAAAAUACUCGUGAAUCUUACAACACCAUCUAUAAAUACCUGUAAUAAAGGGAACGAUCAUUAAUCUUCGACAGUAAUUUCGGUUCGCAGUGGCGACAUUCGUCGUCUUCGUUGCUCUCCUUUCCAUUUAUCUAUCUAUCCUUCUCACACUCUUUUAAGUUUGUAGUAGUAGUUGUUGGUAAUACUGAUGAUGGGUGAUGGGUGAUGGUGGUGGUGGUGGUGGUGGCUACGUUCCUGCACUUUCUAGGAUAAUUAAUGAUCCCGAAAGCGAUCUGCUCACGGUUGUCUCGUUUCGGGACGAUCGUUCUCUCCUCUCUUAUCUUCUCACCCCAUUUCUCUCUUUCUCGCUUUACUUUUACCACCACCACCACCACCACCAACGCCACCAUCCCCUUCUUUGCUUCUUUUACCGCCCCUCAUCGACUCCGCCCCUAAAUUCUUUUUUCUUUUCUUUCUUCUCUCGUCUCGUUCUCUUAUCUUUCACGAAGAGCAGCA